AACCAGCGCGAUUUUCCAAUUGGAUCCUUUCAUCGCAGAAGGCCACCUAGUGCGAAUGGGAGGCCGAAUAGAGAGGUCCGGAUUGUCGUAUGAUGCCCGACAUCCUAUCAUCUUGCCCCACAGACAUAUGGUGGUGGACCUGCUUGUAAGAAGCGAACAUGAAAAGCAAAUGCACGCAGGAACAGAGCACACCUUAGCAACGCUGCGCCAGAACGUUUGGAUACUGAAGGCCAGGAGUACGGUCAAACGGAUCGUGAGGGAAGGUGUAAUCUGUAAGCGGUUUUCAUCAAGCCGAUUUGUGCAGAAAAUGGCACCGCUACCAGAAGAAAGGAUUACUCAAGCAUUUCCUUUUUGAAAGAACGGGCGUAGACUUCGCUGGCCCCUUGUACGUCAAAUAUGGGAAAUACAGCAAAAAGGCCUACGCCUGCUUGUUUACGUGCAUGACCAUGCGAGCAGUGCAUUUGGAGUUGGUAAUGAAUAUGUCGACUGACCAAUUUCUAUUAGCACUGCGACGUUUCGUGACACAUCGCGAGAGACCGUCCUUAAUGCAAUCAGACAAUUCUACCACGUUUAAAGCCGCAGAUAAGGAAAUUCAGCGGUUGUUCAGCGGUCGAAGUCUGGACCAAAUUAAAGAGAAGCUCUCACCUGAAGGCAUUACGUGGAAAUUCAUUACGGAGAGAGCGCCGUGGACUGGCGGUUACUGGGAGCGUCUGGUUCGGUCGGUAAAGAUGGCCUUGCGAAAGGUGUUAGGCCAUGCACUACUCACUGAACUGGAGAUGGGUACAGUGUUAGCCGAACAUGAGGCGAAGGACAACGCCAGGCCGUUGACAUUUGUGGGUGAAGAUCCAAAAGACGUGAACGUACUAACUCCGUUCCACUUUCUCAUUGGAAGAGAACAUCAGGAGUUCCCUGAGCAAAAACCAACACAGGGACUACCCACCCUCAAACAGCCACUGAACUACGAGGCAGAUGGAAGUACCAGCAAAGACUGGUUGCCCAUUUCUGGAAACGGUGGCGCACAGAAUACAUUACCAUACUGUCUGUAAGGAAAAAUGGUGUGGAGUGAAACCGUCACCAAUGGUGGGCGAUAUAGUGUUGGUGGCAGAGGAAAACCUGCCCAGAAUACGUUGGGCAAUGGGCAGGGUCCUUCAAGUAUUGCCAGGAUCUGACAAUUUGGUGCGCAGCGUACGACUCAGAACCUCAAGGGGCGACAUUACCAGGCCCGUCGCAAAGGUGCACCUAUUGAAGCAAGGGCUGACUCUGAUAAGCCCACCUGGCCGGAUGCCAGGGUUGUUACGGUCAGAGGACCGUGAGAAACCGGGAUAUCAUUAUCGCCCCAGGUUUCCGUGUGAAUAACCACCAUUGUAGCACCUGGCAGAUCAGAGCGCGCCGAUUCACAAGAAAUUAUUCACACGCGGUCACUUCUGACAGAUUCGCGAGGUCACCGAGGCUUGAUUGAUCGAUCUGCCAGUAAUCCCUCUUGAACUCGUUUCACCUCCAUUGUACUACCAGUUUAUAAGCGAUGAAUAUUAUACCAGUAAACCUUUUGCUUACGGUACAUCUCGGGGAACACACUGAUUCCAGUUACUAACGCUUCAUCCGCAACAGUUGUAAUUUUCAAUUGCAUGUUGUUGUCGUCAAGUAAAAUGUUGGCAGCCAAAUGCCUCGUCAUCUAACUAGUGACGCACAUAAAUGAAUCAACAAGGUUCCUAUUGUCCCUAUCUACUGUCUAGCGAAACCACAGCCAAGGGAACGGGCUUGGCAAAAUCAGGGGGAAAGAAGACCCUGUUGAGCUUGACGCUAGUCUGUCUCUGUGAAGACACAUUGAAGGUGUAGCACAGGUGGGAGGCACGUGGCCGCUUGCGGUGCCGCGCCGACAGUGAAAUACAGUGAAACCUCCAUAAUCCGUACCUCCGUAAUCCGAACCCUCUAUUAUCCGAAUCCGCCGCGGAGAACAACAGACCGACAUUAUGCACUAAGCAUGCUUAGGCGACCUCAUCGCCGCCCGCUGUAAUAACUUGUCUCCUUUCUUCUGGUCGUUUUUGUUGGAUGUGAUGCCCGAGGAGGAACAACAUGCCGAGGAAGAUGAAGGGGAGCACAGCGCGGUUCCAACACACAACGGAGCAUUUGUUCCACUGGAGGCUGCGUUGCUGUGGUUCGAAGAUCAGGACGAAUGCGAUAAAAGACGACCUUUUGUGCUUAAAAAGGCAUCCGUGACUUAGCCGCUAGCAAACGUAAAAGCGUACUCAAGCAUACGCUGAUAACUGACCACCUACAAUAAAUCUUCCUUUCGCGGACUUCUAUUCCUUCGGAGGAAAGACGUGUGGGCACCUGCGGAUGAUCCAGGGAACAAAGUCUACAAUAAGUUAAGAAUCGCGCAAUGAUAAACUGUUAAUUCAAUUUUUCUCGGGAGGUGGAGCGAGCUGGCAACAGCGAGUCCGAAAAAGUAAACUCGCGGGACUGUUUCCCCUGCCGCUUCGUCAUACAGUUUCUGCGCGACAAAGAAAACUGUUUUCUCCUAGCCACAGACUUUCGUUCGUCAAAUAGUCACCCCCAUAAGCUAAAGCGGUUACAUUUAACAUGUUGUUACCUCCUGCAUUCACAUCCAGUACCUGCAAGCUCCCUCCAUAAUCCGAAUUCCUCUAUUUUCCGAACCACCCCGGGGCCCGUUGAUGUUCGGAUUAUGGAGUUUUGACUGUACCACUACUUUGAUCGUUUAUUUACUUAUUCCGUCAAGCGGAAGAAACGGUCACUCGCGUGGCCGUCCCACGGCGCGCGACGACUGCCACUUUUCCUGCAAAGCCCACGGGACGCCUCCCCGCAGUCGGCGGCAGCUCGAGCACCCGUAGCAACGCGAGGUGCCGUCCAGGGCGAUCCGCUCCGAAGACAGUGUCAGGCGGGGAGUUUGACUGGGGCGGUACAUCUGUUAAACGGUAACGCAGGUGUACCAAGGUGAGCUCAGCGAGGACAGAAACGUCGCCUGGAGUAAACGGGCAAAGGCUCACUUGAUUUUGAUUUCCAGUACGAAUAGAGAGCUCGAAACCGUGGCCUAUCGAUCCUUUUGAUUUUGCAGAUUUCAUGUAAGAGCUGUCAGAAAAGUUACCACAGGGAUAACUGGGUUCUGGCAGCCAAGCGCCCAUAGCGACGUUGCUUUCUGAACCUUCGAUGACGGCCCUUCCUACCAUUGCGAAGCACAAUUCGCCAAGCUUUGGAUUGUUCACCCACAAAUAGGGAACGUGAGCUGGGUUUANACCGUCGUGAGACAGGUUAGUUUUACCCUACUGAUCACUGACCGUUGCCAUACUAAUCCUGCUCAGUACGGGAGAAACCGUAGGAUCAGACAUUUGGUUCAUGCGCUUGGCUGAAAGGCCAGUGGCGCGAACCUACCAUCUGAAAGAUAGUGACUGAACGCCUCUAAGUCAGAAUCUUGCCUAUCGACUGGCGACGAUACGUUGCGUCCGACUUCUUGCAAAGUUGACGGUAGACCGGCAGUGGCCUUGCGCGGUCGACCGGUCUCCACUUGAAGCCGUGCUGCCACUUGU